AGAAUCUGCCCUUAGGUGGGGGACAACAGCUGGAAACGGCUGCUAAUACCGCAUAUGUCUACGGAUGAAAGACUUAGGUUGCCUGAGGAGGAGCUCGCGUCUGAUUAGCUAGUUGGUGGGGUAAAGGCCUACCAAGGCAUCGAUCAGUAGCUGGUCUGAGAGGAUGAUCAGCCACACUGGGACUGAGACGCGGCCCAGACUCCUACGGGAGGCAGCAGUGGGGAAUUUUCCGCAAUGGGCGAAAGCCUGACGGAGCAACGCCGCGUGGGGGAGGAAGGCCUGUGGGUUGUAAACUCCUUUUCUCAGGGAAGAAGAUCUGACGGUACCUGAGGAAUCAGCAUCGGCUAACUCCGUGCCAGCAGCCGCGGUAAGACGGAGGAUGCAAGCGUUAUCCGGAAUUAUUGGGCGUAAAGCGUCCGCAGGCGGCUAAUUAAGUCAGUUGUUAAAGCCCGGGGCUCAACUCCGGAUGGGCAGUUGAAACUAAUUAGCUAGAGUACGGUAGGGGUAGAGGGAAUUCCCAGUGUAGCGGUGAAAUGCGUAGAUAUUGGGAAGAACACCAGUGGCGAAGGCGCUCUACUGGGCCGUAACUGACGCUCAUGG
rnacentral:rRNA from 1 species